rnacentral:lncRNA from 1 species
CUUGUGUGGCACUGGCUCUCCUGGGGCUUCCUGCGGUCCCCCAGCCUCCCUGGGGAGGAGGAAGGUCCGUGGGGGUCGCGUCCCUUCGGGCGGUGCCUGGGCUGGGACCCCCCUCCCGGAGCCCCCCGCUGUCCCCUCUCGCUGCCGCAGCCCGGGGGCUCCGGGCACGGCUUUUAACCCUUUCCGUGUCUCCUGCAGGAGCCCGCAGGGGGCUGUCCCCGACCCCCGUGGGUGCAGCACCCGCUCCCCAUCACANNNNNNNNNNNNNNNNNNNNCACUCGGGCAGGGCAGAGGAGGCGGAGGGAGAGGAGGAAGAGGAGGGAGAGGAGGAAGAGGAGGGAGAGGAGGUGUUCAGCGUGCAGCAGGAUCAGGGCACAAGCUCCUGUCAUCCCUUUGCGGUCCCUCCAGUGGUUGCUGUCUCUGGGAUUGAGGUUGGAUGAUGGAAUAAAUCCUUC